rnacentral:lncRNA from 1 species
UGAAUCACGUGAAUAAUCUCUUCCAAUGAAAAUACUCAGGCCAAAUGUUCAAUCACAAUGGAAAGAACACACCAAUCUCCGUUCAAAUGCUUUUGCAAAGAUAGGAUGGAAGAAAGUUAAUUUCUUGCUUAAAACACAACCCUCUUGAGGAUGAUAGUGUUAUUUUGAUGAUUAACAAGCAAUUAUCAAGAGUAUGUUA